GUAUAGUAUAGUGUAGUAUAGUAUAUUAUUGUAUAGUGUAGUAUAGUAUAGUAUAGUAUAUUAUUGUAUAGUGUAGUAUAGUAUAGUAUAGUAUAGUAUAGUAUAUUAUAUUAUUGUAUAGUGUAGUGUAGUAUAGUAUAGUAUAGUAUAUUGUAUAUGUAGUGUAGUAUAGUAUAGUAUAGUAUAUUAUUGUAUAGUGUAGUAUAGUAUAGUAUAGUAUAGUAUAUUGUAUAGUGUAGUAUAGUAUAGUAUACUAUAGUAUAGUAUAUUAUUGUAUAGUGUAGUCUAGCAUAGUAUAGUAUAUUAUUGUAUAGUGUAGUCUAGUAUAGUAUAGUGUAGUAUAAUAUAUUAUUGUAUAGUGUAGUGUAGUAUAGUAUAUUAUUGUAUAGUGUAGUGUAGUAUAGUAUAGUAUAUUAUUGUAUAGUGUAGUCUAGUAUAGUAUAGUGUAGUAUAAUAUAUUAUUGUAUAGUGUAGUGUAGUAUAGUAUAAUAUAUUAUUGUAUAGUGUAGUGUAGUAUAGUAUAGUAUAUUAUUGUAUAGUGUAGUCUAGUAUAGUAUAGUGUAGUAUAAUAUAUUAUUGUAUAGUGUAGUGUAGUAUAGUAUAAUAUAUUAUUGUAUAGUGUAGUGUAGUAUAGUAUAGUAUAGUAUAUUGUAUAGUGUAGUAUAGUACAGUAUAGUAUAGUAUAUUAUUGUAUAGUGUAGUGUAG
ensembl:lncRNA